rnacentral:rRNA from 1 species
GAUUAAGUUAUUAAGGGCGCACGGUGGAUGCCUUGGCACUAGAAGCCGAUGAAGGACGUUACUAACGACGAUAUGCUUUGGGGAGCUGUAAGUAAGCUUUGAUCCAGAGAUUUCCGAAUGGGGAAACCCAGCAUGA